CAAUUUUCCACACUAAAAAAUACUCUUCCACAGCUUUCAAAGUCUAAGAAAUGGCUCCAACAGUAGCAGAAUCAGUCACUGAGUCUUUUGAUCUCACUGAUUUUGUGAUCAACCAAGGGAAUGGAGUAAAGGGUCUUUCUGAUUUGGGCAUCAAAAGCCUUCCCAGGCAAUAUAUCCAACCCCAGGAAGCAUUGAUCGAUAUAAUCCCAAAUGAAUCUAUACCUGUCAUUGACAUGUCAAACUGGGAAAAUGAUCCCAAGGUCGCUGAAUCUGUCUGUGAAGCUGCAGAGAAAUUUGGGUUCUUUCAGCUUCUUAACCAUGGUGUGCCUCUUGAGGUGCUUAAGGGUGUUGAGGAUGCAACUCAUCGUUUCUUUGGGCUA
rnacentral:misc_RNA from 1 species